AUUGAACGCUAGCGGCAUGCUUAACACAUGCAAGUCGAGCGAGAGGCGGACGGGUGAGUAAUGUAUGGGGAACUGCCUGAUGGCGGGGGAUAACUACUGGAAACAGUAGCUAAUACCGCCUAACAUAGGAUAAACCCAUAUGGGAUUAGCUCGUAGGUGGUGUAAAGGCUCACCAAGGCGACGAUCCCUAGCUGGUCUGAGAGGAUGAUCAGCCACACUGGGACUGAGACACGGCCCAGACUCCUACGGGAGGCAGCAGUGGGGAAUAUUGCACAAUGGGCGCAAGCCUGAUGCAGCCAUGCCGCGUGUAUGAAGAAGGCCUGCGGGUUGUAAAGUACUUUCAGUCGGGAGGCGUUACCGACAGAAGAAGCACCGGCUAACUCCGUGCCAGCCGCCGCGGUAAUAC
rnacentral:rRNA from 1 species